rnacentral:rRNA from 1 species
CUACGGGUUGCACCAGUGAGGAAUAUUGCACAAUGGGGGGAACCCUGAUGCAGCAACGCCACGUGGAGGAUGACGCAUUUCGGUGUGUAAACUCCUUUUAUAUGUCAAGAAAAUGACGGUAGCAUAUGAAUAAGCACCGGCUAACUCCGUGCCAGCAGCCGCGGUAAUACGGAGGGUGCAAGCGUUACUCGGAAUCACUGGGCGUAAAGGACGCGUAGGCGGGUUGGAAAGUCAGGUGUGAAAUCCUACAGCUUAACUGUAGAACUGCACUUGAAACUUCUAAUCUAGAGUAUGGGAGGGGGAGACGGAAUUAGUGGUGUAGGGGUAAAAUCCGUAGAUAUCACUAGGAAUACCUAAAGCGAAGGCGAUCUCCUGGAACAUUACUGACGCUAAGGCGUGAAAGCGUGGGGAGCAAACAGGAUUAGAUACCCUAGUAGUC